GGUAGGUAUAGAACUGUGAGGCACACUGAGGUGUGUCAUUCAAAGCCUCAAUGCUUUGAAUUGAAUCUGUAUGCCAGGGUUGAAGUUGCUUUAAGAACUACAAAACAAACUAAAGCGUCUUUGCUCUAGUGCUUUAUGGUCAAUUAUGAGUAGUCAUCUGAGAAAGUAAGAUCAGAUAGCGCCAAAUGGCUUCAUAGAAGAGACUCACGAAGCUUUGCAGCUAGAAUGAAAGAUAAAAGCCUGGCAAGAGAGUAAGCAGGAAUAAUAAGCUUCGGUGUAGAUCUAAUGACCUAACCAAGUUUACCGGAAUAUAUGAGAAACUUUGUGGAGCUUCUGGCCAGCAUGAGAACAUCAGUGUGACCAUACUGAAUUUACAUAAUUUCAGAACCAAAAAGAAACCUUUGAAGACUGUGGUUCUCAUUCCAGCCCAGGUAUUAAUAAGCUGGAAGGUCUAUGGCAUCAUUUCCUACCUGCGAGCAACUUUAGUGCCACCAGAUGUAAACAUAAAGACUUUGAACUGAAUGACACCACUGGGUCACUCAAAGUACUAAAAAGAGUUUAUUUUACCAUGAGAUUGCUUUCUAGGGCUGUAAAUCCAUCGUGAAAGCUUCAUGUAUAAUCAUAUUCUAAGAAGAACUUUUUGUAGAUAUUUUGCUAGCUCUAGAUAUCUUCAUUUAUUUCAUUAUAUUGUGGAAUAUCACACAGAAAAAUGACAAGGCCCAAAUUCUUUAAAGAACUGAGUGUAGGAGGAGAAAUUUCCUCUCUUACAAAUAGUAUAUCCUGAGCUAAUCUGCUUUCAUUUAUAAUGCUGCUCUUAAUCUCUUUGGAAAUGGCAAUCCAUGGAGUCUGGUGAGGAUCUGUUGAAAUAUUUCUAAACAUUUUUCUGCUUUUUAUAUGUAGGAGACCAUGGUUUAUGCUAUUUUUAUUUUUUCUCAAAAUAUAGGCCAUCUGCCUCAGAAUAAAUCAGUGAAGUUAAAAAAAUGCAGAUUCCUCAAAGUGUGACUGAAUCAGAUGUUUGGGAAUCUUUAUUUUUAAUAACUUAUACUAAGAAACACCAAAUAAAGUACACAAUAAUCUUUGUUUAUUGAAACUGUUUUGGUGCAUUCUAAUAAAAGCAUUAUUUUUUAUUGAAAUG